CUCGGAAGGGCAAGUCCCGUACGGCCAGCUCCCUCUGAACCCCGCCAGGGCCGGAAGGCAGCAACGGUAGGAGGUUGUAGCGGCGCGAUACGGGGUGCUUGCCCUUCC
rfam:Rhodothermus marinus DSM 4252, complete genome.